GGGCCAAGAGGACAGAGCUGGGGAAGGGUGGCGCCGCAGCCCUGCGUUCGGCUCUCGGGAACCGUGUGCUCGGGGCAGCCCGGGGCGCUGGCAGUGAUCCAGGGAGGGGAGCGGCGGGGGAAGCGGCGCGCAGGGGAGGGCUGAGGCGGAGAGCCACGAGCCCAGAGGCAGAGGCGGGCUCCGCACCGCUCCGCGCCCCGCACGCUCCCUGGCUCUCGAGACGCGCGGGCGACAGCCUGGGCGCACCAGCCGGGUCACCUUGUCCCAGAGGUUCUGGUGGCUUGAUGCCUGGCCACUUCCUUCUUUCACCUGUUCGUGAGAGAUAAUCUGGACUGCCUAUUAAGACCCUUUUACAGGGAAAUGGGUCCUAUGGGGCUUGUGUGACCUGUGAAUACAGCCUGCUAGCCUGACGCCAAGCAGGGAGGGAGUCUAUCAUGGAUGGCAUCGUUGAGCAGAAGAGUGUUCUGGUACACAGUAAGAUCGGUGAUGCUGGCAAAAGGAAUGGCUUAAUUAACACCAGAAACUUCAUGGCUGAGAGCAGGGAUGGUCUGGUGUCUGUUUACCCAGCACCGCAGUACCAGAGCCACAGGCUAGUGGCCAGUGCGGCACCAGGCAGCCUGGAAGGAGGCAGAAGUGAUCCUGUGCAGCAGCUGCUGGACCCAAACACACUGCAGCAGUCCGUGGACUCCCACUAUCGUCCCAACAUCAUUCUAUACUCAGAUGGUGUGCUCCGAUCCUGGGGGGAUGGUGUAGCCACUGACUGCUGUGAGACCACCUUCAUUGAGGACCGGUCACCCACCAAAGACAGCCUGGAGUACCCCGAUGGGAAAUUCAUCGACCUCUCAGGGGAUGACAUCAAAAUCCACACCCUGUCUUAUGAUGUGGAGGAAGAGGAGGAGUUACAGGAGCUGGAGAGUGACUACUCUAGCGACACAGAGAGUGAGGACAACUUCCUCAUGAUGCCUCCACGGGAUCACCUGGGACUCAGUGUCUUCUCCAUGCUCUGCUGCUUCUGGCCUUUGGGCAUCGCGGCCUUCUACUUGUCCCAUGAGACAAACAAAGCUGUGGCCAAAGGAGACUUCCAUCAGGCCAGCACCAGCUCCCGGAGGGCCCUAUUUCUGGCAGUGCUGUCCAUUACGAUUGGAACUGGCAUCUAUGUGGGUGUAGCUGUUGCCCUCAUUGCCUACCUCUCCAAAAACAACCACCUGUGAGCUUUCCAAAGGCUGGCAUGAAGGAGGGGGAGCUGAGCCAGAUGUAUGAGGGCAGAGAAGAGACAUCUGUGUGUUACUGUACAGUACAAGGGAUUGCCGGACAACUCCAUGAUGCCCUGGAAUCUUCUACUCCUGGACUUCCUUUGUUUUUAUCCUUCAACUUCAUCUUCAGCACUGUGCAGAGCACCAGGCAGCCAGGAAUGCUGAUUCUUCCUCAUGGAAGUUCCAAAGAUUCCAUCCCAGUGGCUGCCCCUGGAUAAAGUCUACUGGAUGGAUGACAAGCCAGCUCUGUAGCCUGCCAGUGCCUGGACUAACACCCCAUUAGCAAUAUACAAACAGUCAAAAUAUGUUUAUUUUUUAUGGAAUAUGGUGCAAUAGGCAGAAUGCAGAAGACAUGUCAUCACUAGCUUGUGGCCCGCUUAAAUUCUCUGUGUGUACCCCAUCUUUGUGGCUUCCUUGUCAGAAAUAAGUGGGGCUGAGAAAGAAAGGAAAGCAACUGCUGGGAGAUCUUCUGUCUCUCUGUCCACAGAUGGAUCCUGUCUGAGAAUGCAGAAUUAGAGGAGCAUAAUGCCUACCCUGGCCUUGCUCAGUCCCAGCACGCUGCCUCAGCUUGGAGCAUCAGGCUUCUUGCAGAUACCCAGCAAUACACAGUUCUGGGGCCUCACUAAUCUUAAAGGAGAGGAAACCACAGCUCCUCUCAAAAACAAACCCAGUGUUUUCCCCGGGAGCCUGAGGGAAAGGAACUGUGAAGACACACCAGGUGUUUAACUCCUGGAUGUUCAUCCUGGUCAUGAGCUUCAAUGUUGGAGAUCCCGGAAAUGAGAUGGGCCUUAUUCUGUCCACUAAAUGAAUGGCUAUUUUCUUGUCAUUUUUUAAGUGCAACUCUUGCUUCAUGCUGCUUCAGUUGCCAGAUGAAUGCUGAGAAAUAACCCUAGCACAGUGCCACAAACAACUGCUAUACUUGGAGGAGGAUAGUUCAUAAUUCCUGUCAGCCAGGAAAAUCACAGGAGUAAGAAAUGGAUAAAAGACUCUGGAAAAUGGACUCCAAAACACACCCAGGAGUUACAUAUGGAGCACUUAGCACAACAGAAUGAAGAUAAGUGAUGAGUUCUUCCUCAAAUGAUCGUGCAUCUUUCUACAUUUCCUGUCCUUUCCUCACCUGAGAAUCCUUGUCGCUUCUCAUUUGAUCCACUGAAUAUGAGACUUCACCUCCAUGCAAGUAAACAAAGGAUUUAAACUGGACAGACACACCCAAGUACUGAACUCGGGACCCCUCAGCUUCUUCACAGUGAUGAAGGAUAGGACAAUUGGGUCCCAUGGAAAUCUACAAACAACCCAGGCUGUUGCUCAAACAAUGGAUUGUUCUCUGAAAACUGACAGCAGGACCCCAUUACUGAGGACAACAUUCACACAACUCAUUGGACAUGGGUAAGUUGAGUCAGUGCCUACAUGGGCUCUUCUCCUGUAUGUGAGAGUAUCUUUCAUGUAGGAAGGUACUCCUCAGACUACCAAAACAGGAAUGUAAACCCCAACUGAGCCACAAAACCUUUGACCUACAACCUGUCUUGCCUGUAAGAUAUGUUAGGGCAAUGGUGGCACAGAACUUGUGGGAGUAGCCAAGUAAUGUUUGGUUUGUCUCUACAAGAUGGAACCUAUACCAGACCAAUAACCAGAGACUAGAUAGUUCAGAGACCUAGAGGAAAGCCAAACAGUACUCUUCUAAAAAUAUUAACAAUAAAAUUAUUCCUAAUAAUAUUCUCAUAAA